rnacentral:rRNA from 1 species
UACGGAGGGGGCGAGCGUUAUUCGGAAUUAUUGGGCGUAAAGGGCGCGUAGGCGGUUCUUCAAGUCUCUCGUGAAAUCCCUCGGCUUAACUGAGGACGUGCGGGAGAUACUGAAGGGCUUGAGUCCGGAAGAGGGUGGUGGAAUUCCCAGUGUAGCGGUGAAAUGCGUAGAUAUUGGGAGGAACACCGGUGGCGAAGGCGGCCACCUGGGCCGGAACUGACGCUGAGGAGCGAAAGCGUGGGGAGCGAACAGG